AAAGUCGUAACAAGGUUUCCGUAGGUGAACCUGCGGAAGGAUCAUUAAUGCAAGAUAGCAGUUCAUUCGAAAGACUUGAACUCUAUCGAGAUAUACCUCACCAAAACGCUCGACCUUUUGUCUUUUUGACUCAAGGCUCGACGUCACAAGCAACUUGAGACUUUUUUCCCUGUUAGUCUUUUCCUCGCGGAAAAAACGAGAGGGCGAAAUGUUCUCUACCAUUUUUACACCAUAAUUACCCUACUUGAAACUUUUAGACUGAUAUGAAAAAUACAUUUUCCUAAAUGUAAAGAACAACUCUUAGCAAUGGAUAUCUAGGCUCUC
rnacentral:misc_RNA from 1 species